rfam:Methanosarcina acetivorans str. C2A, complete genome.
UAGAUCGGGGUCGGCGACCCUCUGGGUAUGCCGAUUUCCCACAUAAUGGCCUCAGGUAUGACCGGGAUCAGAGCAGCCGGCGAUCUUGUUGCAAGGAUGC